rnacentral:rRNA from 1 species
UACGUAGGUGGCGAGCGUUACUCGGAAUUACUAGGCGUAAAGCGCGUGUAGGCGGGAGCUUAAGUCUGUCGUGAAAGCUCAGGGCUCAACCCUGAAAUGCCGGCAGAAACUGGGCUUCUUGAGUGCGGUAGAGGAGAUCGGAAUUCCAGGUGUAGCGGUGAAAUGCGUAGAUAUCUGGAAGAACGCCAAAGGCGAAGGCAGAUCUCUGGGCCGAUACUGACGCUGAGACGCGAAAGCUAGGGGAGCAAACAGGAUUAGAUACCCUGGUAGUCCUAGCUGUAAACGAUGUAGACCAGGUGUGGGAGGUAUCGACCCCUCCCGUGCCGACGCUAACGCAUUAAGUCUACCGCCUGGGGAGUACGGCCGCAAGGUUAAA